GACGAACGCUUGCGGCGUGCUUAACACAUGCAAGUCGAACGGAAAGGCCCUGCUUUUGUGGGGUGCCCGAGUGGCGAACGGGUGAGUAACACGUGAGUAACCUGCCCUUGACUUUGGGAUAACUUCAGGAAACUGGGGCUAAUACCGGAUAGGAGCUCCUGCUGCAUGGUGGGGGUUGGAAAGUUUCGGCGGUUGGGGAUGGACCCGCGGCUUAUCAGCUUGUUGGUGGGGUAGUGGCUUACCAAGGCUUUGACGGGUAGCCGGCCUGAGAGGGUGACCGGCCACAUUGGGACUGAGAUACGGCCCAGACUCCUACGGGAGGCAGCAGUGGGGAAUAUUGCACAAUGGGCGGAAGCCUGAUGCAGCAACGCCACGUGCGGGAUGACGGCCUUCGGGUUGUAAACCGCUUUCGCCUGUGACGAAGCGUGAGUGACGGUAAUGGGUAAAGAAGCACCAGCUAACUACGUG
rnacentral:rRNA from 1 species